rnacentral:rRNA from 1 species
AAUUAUUGAAUUAAACUGCAAAGAAAAAUAACCAUAUAGAUUUCAAUACCUUUUGCAUAAUGGUUAAACAAUAAUAUUUAUAAAUAUAUGUUCCCGAAGUUAGAAGAUCUAAUUUUAUUAUUUAAUUAGAAUAUAAUGUUUCAAAAUUAUAUAUAAGUACAAUUAGGAGUGAAAGGCUUAACAAUUCUAAAGAUAACUGGAAUAAUUUUAAAUGUAUUUAGUACAUAAUAAGUUUGAAUAAAAAAAUGUUAAGGUUUUUUUACUAAGAAUAAAACUUAUUAUAAUGAAUUAAUCUUCUUAUUAUUUUAUUAUAUAAAAAUUUAUGGUUAAAUAAUCUAAAUAAAAUUAUAUUUUAAUUACUGAAAAAUUAAUUAUGUUUAAAUUAGUAUAAAAUUUUUGUUUUAAUAAGGAACUCGGCAAAAUGUUCAUCUGUUUAUCAAAAACAUAGUCUUAUGAUAUAAGAUGAAACCUGCCCAUUGAUAAUAUUUAACGGCCGCAGUACCUUGACUGUGCUAAGGUAGCAUAAUAAAUUGACUUUUAAUUGGGGCCUAGAAUGAAAGGAUAGACAGUUUCUGUCUCUAAAGAUUAAUUAUAAGUUACUUAAAAGGUGAAAAUUCCUUUAUAAUAAAAUAGACGAGAAGACCCUAGGAGUUUACAAUUUUGUUGGGGCGACAAUGUAGCAUUACCUACAAAUUUAUAAAUGUAACAAUAUUUUUAAUUAAAAGAAAACUACCCUAGGGAUAACAGCAUAAUUUAUAAAGUUUGUGACCUCGAUGUUGGA